CACACACACACACAUAUAUAUAUCCACUAAUUAUAGCUAUUCUGAUGGAUCCACCCAUACUUGUUUUUGAAGCUUGCUCACCAGAUUUUUGUCUAGAUGGAAUGCCUUUGUUAGAACAUCAGAAUUAAUGGGUGGAUCGGAUCCAAAAACUGCAUUUGCUAUUGUAUUGACUCCUGGAUUUUGGCUAGUUAAUGUAGCCAAUGCAACUGCUGGGGUUUUUCCAAUAUUCAACUGGAAGUGAAUCAGCCCAAAUGGAAAUAGAAACACAUCUCCUGGCUUGAGAACUUUGGUGAAAAGGCGAUGAUCAGGAUUAGAUGUGACAAAACCAGCAUAGACUGUUCCUUCCAAGACUGUAAGUAACUCGGCAGCCCGAGGGUGAUUGUGUGGUGGGUUUAGGCCACCAUUGGCUGCAUAAUCAAUACGAACUAAUGUUAUACCGUUUGUAUUAAGUCCUGGGAUCACAUCAGCAUCUACGAUAUUGAUAUGCACUCCAAGUUGGUUUGAGGUGUCUCCAGCCACAUUAAGUCCAGAAAAGAAGAAAUCAUCUGCCGUCGCAUGAUUUGGAUCCUUGCAGAAUUUUCCAUUCACAAACACAGCAGAAUCGGUGCCAUUGCUUGCUACACAGAAGUCUUGGAGAGGGCUGGGAUCAUAGGCAAUGGCAGAGGAGAAAGCCAAAGCCAAGACUGCGAGAGCUACAAGGAAAUUAACAACUUUCAUCGUGUGGUUGGGAGCUUAGAGUUUUGCCUAGGAUGUUUUUA
rnacentral:misc_RNA from 1 species